UUCAAAUUGAGAGUUUGAUCCUGGCUCAGGACGAACGCUGGCGGCGUGCCUAAUACAUGCAAGUCGAGCGAGCUGAAUUCAAAGAUCCCUUCGGGGUGAUUUGUUGGACGCUAGCGGCGGAUGGGUGAGUAACACGUGGGCAAUCUGCCCUAAAGACUGGGAUACCACUUGGAAACAGGUGCUAAUA
rnacentral:rRNA from 1 species